rnacentral:rRNA from 1 species
CUACGGGUUGCUGCAGUGAGGAAUAUUGCACAAUGGGGGGAACCCUGAUGCAGCAACGCCGCGUGGAGGAUGACGCAUUUCGGUGUGUAAACUCCUUUUAUAUGUCAAGAAAAUGACGGUAGCAUAUGAAUAAGCACCGGCUAACUCCGUGCCAGCAGCCGCGGUAAUACGGAGGGUGCAAGCGUUACUCGGAAUCACUGGGCGUAAAGGACGCGUAGGCGGGUUGGAAAGCCAGGUGUGAAAUCCUACAGCUUAACUGUAGAACUGCACUUGAAACUGCUAAUCUAGAGUAUGGGAGGGGGAGAUGGAAUUAGUGGUGUAGGGGUAAAAUCCGUAGAUAUCACUAGGAAUACCUAAAGCGAAGGCGAUCUCCUGGAACAUUACUGACGCUAAGGCGUGAAAGCGUGGGGAGCAAGCAGGAUUAGAUACCCCGGUAGUC